rnacentral:rRNA from 1 species
UACGUAGGGUGCAAGCGUUGUCCGGAAUUAUUGGGCGUAAAGAGCUCGUAGGCGGUUUGUUGCGUCGGCUGUGAAAUCCCGAGGCUCAACCUCGGGUCUGCAGUCGAUACGAGCAAACUAGAGUGUUGCAGGGGAGACUGGAAUUCCUGGUGUAGCGGUGAAAUGCGCAGAUAUCAGGAGGAACACCGGUGGCGAAGGCGGGUCUCUGGGCCGAUACUGACGCUGAGGAGCGAAAGCUAGGGGAGCGAACGGG